rnacentral:rRNA from 1 species
GACGAACGCUGGCGGCGUGCUUAACACAUGCAAGUCGAACGAAGAGCGAUGGAAGCUUGCUUCUAUCAAUCUUAGUGGCGAACGGGUGAGUAACGCGUAAUCAACCUGCCCUUCAGAGGGGGACAACAGUUGGAAACGACUGCUAAUACCGCAUACGAUCUAACCUCGGCAUCGAGGAUAGAUGAAAGGUGGCCUCUACAUGUAAGCUAUCACUGAAGGAGGGGAUUGCGUCUGAUUAGCUAGUUGGAGGGGUAACGGCCCACCAAGGCGAUGAUCAGUAGCCGGUCUGAGAGGAUGAACGGCCACAUUGGGACUGAGACACGGCCCAGACUCCUACGGGAGGCAGCAGUGGGGAAUCUUCCGCAAUGGACGAAAGUCUGGCGGAGCAACGCCGCGUGAGUGAUGACGGCCUUCGGGUUGUAAAGCUCUGUUAAUCGGGACGAAAGGCCUUCUUGCGAAUAGUGAGAAGGAUUGACGGUACCGGAAUAGAAAGCCACGGCUAACUACGUG